CCCUGAAUGGCUCAGUUGGUGGAGCAUGUGACUUCUGAUCUCAAGGCUGGAGUUUGAGCACUGUUCUGGGU
rnacentral:tRNA from 1 species